rnacentral:rRNA from 1 species
GGAUAAGAGACAGCAGCAGCCACGGGAAUACGAAGGGUGCAAGCGUUAAUCGGAAUUACUGGGCGUAAAGCGUGCGUAGGCGGUUUGUUAAGUCUGCUGUGAAAUCCCCGGGCUCAACCUGGGAAUGGCAGUGGAUACUGGCAAGCUAGAGUGUGUCAGAGGAUGGUGGAAUUCCCGGUGUAGCGGUGAAAUGCGUAGAGAUCGGGAGGAACAUCAGUGGCGAAGGCGGCCAUCUGGGACAACACUGACGCUGAGGCACGAAAGCGUGGGGAGCAAACAGGAUUAGAUACCCCCGUAGUCCCUGUCUCUUAUAC